UUUCUUCUUUUUGCAUAAGAAAAAAAAAACAUAAGUGAGAGAGAGAGUGAAAGAUGAAGUCCCGGAUGUUGAAAGAAGCAUUCUUUCUCAUGGUAAUCACAACAAUUAUGGUUUCUUCGUCAUUUUUUGUGUGUGCAGAUAAAGAUCCAUAUCACAAGUGUGUUGAUGAAUGCUACUCAACUUGUGUUGAUGAUAUUACCAGUUGCCAUGAUUAUUGUUUACAUGAAUGUAAACAUCCUGAUAGUUUUGCGCAGAAAUUGUUGAAAUGCUCCAACUUUUGUGGCAAUCUUAAAGGAGAUGAGAAGCUCCGUUGCAUUAACAGAUGUUUGAGGACGAUCGACAAAAUCAAUGGUUGAGAAGUGUUUGUCAUAGAAAAACAUGAAAUAAGAUCCUUUCAUGUAGUAUAAAGGAUGUUAAUUUGUUGUUAUCCCUAGUGGAAGUUUUACCUUUUAAUGUAAUGAUGGUUGUCUAUAUUAACUUUAUGUUUCUUAUCCA